AGAGUUUGAUCCUGGCUCAGGAUGAACGCUGGCGGCGUGCCUAAUACAUGCAAGUCGAACGCAUCUCUUCGGAGAUGAGUGGCGAACGGGUGAGUAAUACAUAGGUAACCUGCCCCUGUGCGGGGGAUAACAGGAGGAAACUCCUGCUAAUACCGCAUAGCCAUGAGCACCGCAUGGAGCUCAUGCCAAAUAUCCUUUCGGGGAUAGCGCAGGGAUGGACCUAUGGCGCAUUAGCUGGUUGGCGGGGCAACGGCCCACCAAGGCAACGAUGCGUAGCCGGCCUGAGAGGGCGGACGGCCACAUUGGGACUGAGACACGGCCCAGACUCCUACGGGAGGCAGCAGUAGGGAAUUUUCGGCAAUGGGGGAAACCCUGACCGAGCAACGCCGCGUGAGCGAAGAAGGCCUUCGGGUCGUAAAGCUCUGUUGUAAAGGAAGAACGUCGGACACAGGAAAUGGUGUGCGAGUGACGGUACUUUACCAGAAAGCCACGGCUAACUACGUGCCAGCAGCCGCGGUAAUACGUAGGUGGCGAGCGUUAUCCGGAAUCAUUGGGCGUAAAGAGGGAGCAGGCGGCCGCAAGGGUCUGUGGUGAAAGACCGAAGCUAAACUUCGGUAAGCCAUGGAAACCGGGCGGCUAGAGUGCGGAAGAGGAUCGUGGAAUUCCAUGUGUAGCGGUGAAAUGCGUAGAUAUAUGGAGGAACACCAGUGGCGAAGGCGACGGUCUGGGCCGCAACUGACGCUCAUUCCCGAAAGCGUGGGGAGCAAAUAGGAUUAGAUACCCUAGUAGUCCACGCCGUAAACG
rnacentral:rRNA from 1 species